UGGUGGCAAGCUUGGUUGAGGACAUGCCAUCUUCUACGAUUGUUGAUGAGGUAAUCUUUGCUUCACUUCUAUUUCUAUCUUGUUCGUUGCAGUAAGAAUCUUUAAUAUUGGCAAUUUUCCUUGCAGGACGCUGACAAAAUUGUGCGUUCUAUCCAAGACUUGUUCGCUUCCUGGGGGCAAGUCCAGACGUCUCGCCCUACUCCAUCUGAUCGUCCUGCUGCUUCUUCAGAGGAAGAUUUGAAGUUCCUCAAGGAGUCGAUAUUUGAGUACGUAUCCUUCAUGGAUAUGGAUAUUGGAAGGGCUAGUGCUGCCAGGCACAAG
rnacentral:lncRNA from 1 species